AACACGUGGGUGACCUGCCCUCCACUCUGGGAUAAGCCUGGGAAACCGGGUCUAAUACCGGAUAUGACCUCUGGGUGCAUGCCUGGUGGUGGAAAGUUUUUCGGUGGGGGAUGGGCCCGCGGUCUAUCAGCUUGUUGGUGGGGUGAUGGCCUACCAAGGCGACGACGGAUAGCCGGCCUGAGAGGGUGAUCGGCCACACUGGGACUGAGACACGGCCCAGACUCCUACGGGAGGCAGCAGUGGGGAAUCUUGCGCAAUGGGCGGAAGCCUGACGCAGCAACGCCGCGUGAGGGAUGACGGCCUUCGGGUUGUAAACCUCUUUCGCGAUCGACGAAGGUCAUACUUCUGGUAUGGCUGACGGUAGGUCGAGAAGAAGCACCGGCCAACUACGUGCCAGCAGCCGCGGUAAUACGUAGGGUGCGAGCGUUGUCCGGAAUUAUUGGGCGUAAAGAGCUCGUAGGCGGUGUGUCACGUCGGCCGUGAAAACCUGGGGCUCAACUCUGGGCGUGCGGUCGAUACGGGCAUCACUUGAGUUCGGCAGGGGAGACUGGAAUUCCUGGUGUAGCGGUGAAAUGC
rnacentral:rRNA from 1 species